CAGUAGCGUAUAUUAAAGUUGUUGCAGUUAAAAUGCUCGUAGUUGAAGUUCGGAUGCAGCAGAGCUUGGAAACGCUGUUAUGGUGCUUCCGUUGCUUUUGCUUGUCCACAGUGCGUUGCAAGUACGUAUGUGCUUGUGCGUGCAUUUUACUUUGAGAAACAUAGGGUGUUCCACGCAUGUUACGGCGUGAAUAUUCCAGCAUGGGAUAAUCUGGUACGACUUCCAAUCUGCCAUUUUGGUUCGUAGGUUGGAAGUAAGGUACGACUUCCAAUCUGCCAUUUUGGUUCGUAGGUUGGAAGUAAUGAUUAAUAGGGACUGUCGGGGGCAUUGGUAUUUGACUGUCAGAGGUGAAAUUCUUAGAUUCGUUGAGGACCAACCACUGCGAAAGCAUUUGUCAAGGAUGUCUCCAUUAA
rnacentral:rRNA from 1 species